AGGCUCCUGUUGCCAAGCAGGA
rnacentral:misc_RNA from 1 species